rnacentral:misc_RNA from 1 species
UCCGGUUUGUCACCGGCAGUCACCUUUGAGUGCCCAACUCAAUGCUGGCAACAAAGAUCAAGGGUUGCGCUCGUUGCGGGACUUAACCCAACAUCUCACGACACGAGCUGACGACAACCAUGCACCACCUGUCUCUUCGUCCCCCGAAGGGGAACACCCUAUCUCUAGGGCUUGCGAAGGAUGUCAAGACUUGGUAAGGUUCUUCGCGUUGCUUCGAAUUAAACCACAUGCUCCACUGCUUGUGCGGGCCCCCGUCAAUUCCUUUGAGUUUCAACCUUGCGGUCGUACUCCCCAGGCGGAGUGCUUAUUGCGUUUGCUGCAGCACUAAGGGGUCAUCCCCCCUAACACCUAGCACUCAUCGUUUACGGCGUGGACUAC